CCUACGGGGUGCAGCAGUGGGGGAUAUUGGACAAUGGGGGAAACCCUGAUCCAGCGACGCCGCGUGAGUGAAGAAGUAUUUCGGUAUGUAAAGCUCUAUCAGCAGGGAAGAAAGAAAUGACGGUACCUGAGUAAGAAGCCCCGGCUAACUACGUGCCAGCAGCCGCGGUAAUACGUAGGGGGCAAGCGUUAUCCGGAAUUACUGGGUGUAAAGGGAGCGUAGACGGUAAUGCAAGUCUGGAGUGAAAGGCGGGGGCCCAACCCCCGGACUGCUCUGGAAACUGUGUAACUGGAGUGCAGGAGAGGGAGGGGGAAUUCCUAGUGGAGCGGUGAAAAGCGGAGAUAUUAGGAGGAAAACCAGGGGCGAAGGGGGGCUGCUGGACUGUAAACGACGUUGAGGCCCGAAAGGGUGGGGAGCAAACAGGAUUAGAUACCCCAGUAGUC
rnacentral:rRNA from 1 species